rnacentral:rRNA from 1 species
CGCCUGUUUAUCAAAAACAUAGCCUUUAGCCAGACAAGUAUUAAAGGUAAUGCCUGCCCAGUGAAUCCACUUUCAACGGCCGCGGUACCCUAACCGUGCAAAGGUAGCGUAAUCAUUUGUCCACUAAUUAUGGACCUGUAUGAAAGGCCACAUGAGAAUCUAACUGUCUCUUGUAACUAAUUUAUAAAACUGAUCUUCUAGUCCAAAAGCUAGAAUACCCAUAUAAGACGAGAAGACCCUGUGAAGCUUUAAAAACCCCAUUAAACCUGCUAAUGGGUAUUUUUAGUUGGGGCAACUUUGGAAAACAAUUAAACUUCCAAA